AAUCUUGGUGAGAAACCUAACCUGUGUUUCAAAUGAUAUCAUCAAUAAGACCCAUAAACUCUACAUCAAUGAAGAAACUUGGAUACGUUGUCUAAUAUAAUAUAAGAAAAUACAUUCGGAGUAGUCAUAACAAAACCAAAAUCACCAAUCUCAUAAACCCAUAAAUAAAAUCCUAGUGUUAAGAGUAGAGAGACAUUCACUUAAAGAGCAUUUACCUCCACUUAACAAUGUUAUGUGGGGUAAUCCUAAUGUUACCAAAACAAGUGAAACAUGAAAUGAAAGAAGAAAAACACACAAAAGUUGAAGCAACUUACCUUGGGAGCUGCCAUAGGAUAUUCUUCAGGCAAAAAGAGCUCCAACUUGAAAACUCCUCCUACAGAUUGAGAAGGAAACAAAAUUAUUGGUAAACAUCAAUUAACAGAAAUAUGAUGAUAGAUAAAACAGCAGACUUGAUUCUGGAAAUUCGACUUGGCAUUGUGUAUUCUAGAACAAAUAAAAUGUGUCGAAAUGAACUCAAAGGUAGCUUAAAGACUCAUCGUUAUUCAUAACACUACAAUCCGAACAUGAGCAAUCUAUGAGACCUAGUAGUACCUAAACGAACAUAUCCGUUUGUAUAAACAAAUAUAGAGACAGAGCAGAGUCACUACUUGCAGCAGAAACGAUAACGAUAAAUCGUUGAGCAGCAUGCAUUAAAGAAGAAAAAGGAAGAAGUAACGAUGAGCAUCUUUG